UAGUCUAAGGAACUUCAGCAGGACAAGUCCUGAACCAAAGUUGACCACCAGAGGAGUCCCCCAUCUCCCAGAUGGCCUGGAAUGAUAUCGAGAUAACUACGGUUAACUCAAGACAUUCCUUUUGAGGAUAUACAUCAAAAUAGCAAUGCUGCACAAAUUCUUUGUUCCAGGAACUUGGCAUUGAUAUGGAUAUCUUGCUGACCUCAAUGUAACCAGACUUGGAUGGCCCCUGCUAGUGCUAGUCACCUUGGAAGACACGAUGAACGCAGCUGGCUGCACUGUUGAUACAGCCACCAUCCUGUAUUUUCCUAUAAACCCACUCAGCCUUUUCCUCUGGGUGGGUCUGCAGUUUUGAAGGCAUUAGCCUUCUGCAGCCUCCUCUUACUGACAAA